AUGAUAGAUCAGGCUAGCACGAUGAGACAGCAAAUGUUCAGAGGGUACUACCUUCUCGAUGCCUUCAGGUGCAGAGAGAGGAAGACCAAUGAUGAGGAGGCGAGUCGCUUCUUGUUUGCUCAAUCCGAUUUCAAUCCAGCUAAGCGUUUUCGCCUUCUUUCUAGCAACACUCAGAUUGAGAGCACGGUAAUUGGUAGAGAAAGCAGUCAGAAGUUGAAACAGGUUGUUAUUGGCCUAGAAAACAUGGUUGCUGAUAUGAAAGAGUUUGCUAUGUUUCUGAUGAGCUACCCUCGCAUGUACCGCCAACCCUAUGGCGCAUAUUUAUUUGUGGACAAGUAUAUGUUUGGCCGCCAAAUGGAGAGGGAACAAUCCAUUAGCGUUUUGCUACAAGCUGAGCCUCCAGGGAAUGGAAAUGUGGGUGUUCUUACAAUUGUCGGUCCUGCACGUGUUGGAAAGAGCACUCUUGUGGACCAUGUUUGCAACGAUGAGCGUGUACGGAAUCACUUCUCCUUGAUCUUGCUCUACACUGGAAACAACCUUCAAGAUGAAACGAUGACAACUUUUAGAGAUCAUUGCGUGAUCAAGCAUCAAAAUAUUUCCUUGGAUGAAGAGAAGUCGUUGGUAGUCAUUGAGCUCUUAGGGGACGUGGACAAAGGAGUAUGGAAGAAGCUGCUGCACUCUUCUGAACGAUGCAUGCCACAUGGGAGCAAGAUCAUAAUCACUAGCCGAUCAGAGAAGGUGGCCAGUCUUGGAACAACGGAAGCCGUCAGGCUAAAUUAUUUGUCUAAAGAAGCUUACUGGUAUUUCUUCAGGAUGCUCGUGUUUGGUAGCACGGAUCCGGAGGAGCAACCAAAGCUAACAUCCAUAGCCAUGGAGAUAGCCCUAGAGAUGCGUGAAUCUUUCAUAUACGCAUAUGUUGUUGCUGCCUUACUGAGAGAAAAUUUUAGCGCUCGGUUCUGGUGCAGGGUUCUCAGACAUCUUAGGGAGCACAGGCAGAAGAAUAUCUUGUUAUUAGGUGAAUAUCCUGCUGAGGAAGAUCAGCCUCGUUAUAUUUGCAGCUUGGCCAAACGGUGGCGAGGUUCUGAGUAUGUUAACUUCCUUCUGCGAUGUAGUGACUACCAAAAUGGGCCUGCUUCUCACAGUGGGAUUCCGAGGAUAAAAGUGAUGGAUCUUCUAUCCGGCACCUGGAGCGCUAUACCACGGGGAAAAUUUGAGGUAUUGUCCUGGAGGUCUCUCAUACCACCGUACUACAGCUACACAACUGUCUGCGAGUUUGUCCGGCACGAGAAGUACCACAGCAUAGACGAAUAA
rnacentral:rRNA from 1 species